AACGAACGCUGGCGGCAUGCCUAACACAUGCAAGUCGAACGAGACCUUCGGGUCUAGUGGCGCACGGGUGCGUAACGCGUGGGAACCUGCCCUUAGGUUCGGAAUAACUCCCCGAAAGGGGUGCUAAUACCGGAUAAUGUCUUCGGACCAAAGAUUUAUCGCCUUUGGAGGGGACCGCGUUGGAUUAGCUAGUUGGUAGGGUAAAAGCCUACCAAGGCGACGAUCCAUAGCUGGUCUGAGAGGAUGAUCAGCCACACUGGGACUGAGACACGGCCCAGACUCCUCCGGGAGGCAGGAGUGGGGAAUAUUGGAAAAUGGGCGAAAGCCUGAUCCAGCAAUGCCGCGUGAGUGAUGAAGGCCUUAGGGUUGUAAAGCUCUUUUACCCAGGAUGAUAAUGACAGUACCGGGAGAAUAAGCUCCGGCUAACUCCGUG
rnacentral:rRNA from 1 species